rnacentral:rRNA from 1 species
GUAGGGAAUCUUCCACAAUGGACGAAAGUCUGAUGGAGCAACGCCGCGUGAGUGAAGAAGGUCUUCGGAUCGUAAAACUCUGUUGUUAGAGAAGAACGUGCAUGAUAGUAACUGAUCAUGUAAUGACGGUAUCUAACCAGAAAGCCACGGCUAACUACGUGCCAGCAGCCGCGGUAAUACGUAGGUGGCAAGCGUUGUCCGGAUUUAUUGGGCGUAAAGGGAACGCAGGCGGUUUUUUAAGUCUGAUGUGAAAGCCUUCGGCUUAACCGAAGAAUAGCAUUGGAAACUGGAAGACUUGAGUGCAGAAGAGGAGAGUGGAAUUCCAUGUGUAGCGGUGAAAUGCGUAGAUAUAUGGGGGAACACCAGUGGCGAAAGCGGCUCUCUGGUCUGUAACUGACGCUGAGGUUCGAAAGCGUGUGUAGCAAACAGGAUUAGAAACCCCAGUAGUCC